AUUGAACGCUGGCGGCAGGCCUAACACAUGCAAGUCGAACGGUAGCACAGAGAGCUUGCUCUCGGGUGACGAGUGGCGGACGGGUGAGUAACGUCUGGGAAACUGCCCGAUGGAGGGGGAUAACUACUGGAAACGGUAGCUAAUACCGCAUAACGUCGCAAGACCAAAGUGGGGGACCUUCGGGCCUCACACCAUCGGAUGUGCCCAGAUGGGAUUAGCUAGUAGGUGGGGUGAUGGCUCACCUAGGCGACGAUCCCUAGCUGGUCUGAGAGGAUGACCAGCCAACCUGGAACUGAGAAACGGUCCAGACUCCUACGGGAGGCAGCAGUGGGGAAUAUUGCACAAUGGGCGCAAGCCUGAUGCAGCCAUGCCGCGUGUAUGAAGAAGGCUUUCGGGUUGUAAAGUACUUUCAGCGGGGAGGAAGGCGGUGAAGUUAAUAGCUUCACCGAUUGACGUUACCCGCAGAAGAAGCACCGGCUAACUCCGUGCCAGCAGCCGCCGUAA
rnacentral:rRNA from 1 species